rnacentral:rRNA from 1 species
GAGUUUGAUCUUGGCUCAGGAUGAACGCUGGCGGCGUGCCUAACACAUGCAAGUCGAACGGAGUUCUUAAGGAAUGCGGCUUCGGCCAAAUGACUUUUGAACUUAGUGGCGGACGGGUGAGUAACGCGUGAGCAACCUGCCUUUCAGAGGGGGAUAACAUUUGGAAACAGAUGCUAAUACCGCAUAGGAUUACAGUACCGCAUGAUACAGUGAUCAAAGGAGCAAUCCGCUGAAAAGAUGGGCUCGCGUCCGAUUAGAUAGUUGGUGAGGUAACGGCGUCACCAAGUCGACGAUCGGUAGCCGGACUGAGAGGCUGAACGGCCGACAUUGGGACUGAGACACGGCCCAGACUCCUACGGGAGGCAGCAGUGGGGAAUAUUGCACAAUGGGCGAAAGCCUGAUGCAGCAACGCCGCGUGAGGGAAGACGGUUUUCGGAUUGUAAACCUCUGUUUUCGGUGACGAACGAAUGACGGUAACCGAGUAGGAAGCCACGGCUAACUACGUGCCAGCCGCCGCCGU